rnacentral:lncRNA from 1 species
GCAAAUUGUAAUUAUUCUGGUUAUACAAAAAAUUGGAUAUACGUAUUUUCCCAUAAUAAAACAAAUUAGAAAAUUAGAUAUCUGUAAAAUACGAAACAAAUCACGAAAAUUAUGGUAGUAUUCAUUCUGAUAUUACACCUUAGUAGAGAGAACAACGUUUAAACGUUAAAAUCCCUGAUUCAAUUAUGAUGAUUAGACAAUGCAAACAAAUUUUCUCACACAACAUAUGAAUUUUAAGUAGAUUUUAUUAAAUGCACGUUCAAGAAAGAAAACAAAAAAAACAAAAAAAUGUAGAUAUGGGUAGCUGGGUAGAUUAAAGCACCACUUGUAUUCGUCCAUCAAAUCUAAUUCACAUUCCGAUUAGGUUCUUUUGUACUUCAAACCUGACAUCGGUCUUUUGCUUUUC